rnacentral:rRNA from 1 species
UCAGGAUGAACGCUGGCGGUAUGCGUAACACAUGCAAGUCGAACGAAGUUUUUCGGAACUUAGUGGCGGACGGGUGAGUAACGCGUGAGAAUCUGCCUUAAGGAUUGGGACAACAGUGGGAAACCGCUGCUAAUACCAAAUAUGCCUUUUAGUGAAACGGGUAAAACCGCCUUAAGAUGAGCUCGCGUCUGAUUAGCUAGUUGGUGUGGUAAGAGCGCACCAAGGCAACGAUCAGUAGCUGGUCUGAGAGGACGACCAGCCACACUGGGACUGAGACACGGCCCAGACUCCUACGGGAGGCAGCAGUGAGGAAUUUUCCGCAAUGGGCGAAAGCCUGACGGAGCAAUACCGCGUGAGGGAGGAAGGUUCUUGGAUUGUAAACCUCUUUUCUCAGAGAAGAAUAAUGACGGUAUCUGAGGAAUAAGCAUCGGCUAACUCCGUGCCAGCAGCCGCAGUAAUACGGAGGAGGCAAGCGUUAUCCGGAAUUAUUGGGCGUAAAGCGUCCGUAGAUGGUUUUGUCAGUCUGCUGUCAAAGCACAGGGCUUAACCCUGUAAAGGCAGUGGAAACUACAAGACUAGAGUGCAGUAGGGGCAGAGGGAAUU